AUGGCGGCGGCGGCGGCGUCCCAUCUGGACGGUGGCACGAAGCGGCGGCGGAAGGACGAGGAAGUAGAAGCAGGCGCGGAGGCGGCAGAGGACCGCAUCUCGGAGCUGCCGGAGGCGCUGCGGCUGCACGUCCUCUGCCUGCUCCCGCUCAAAUCCGCCAUCCGCACGGGCGCGCUCUCCACCCGGUGGCGCUCCCUCUGGACGCACCGCUGGCCGGCGCCCUCCUCCCUCGACUUCCGCCUCGGCAUCGGCGACUCCCCGCACCCGCUCCUCGAAACCCUAGAGCGGCGCGGGUGGCGGCGCCUCCAGCGGUUCGCCCUCUCCUUCGGCAUCGGCGCGUUCAAGGCCGAGCACUUCCGCCGCUGCCUCGACCUCGCCAUCGCCUGCGCCGUCGAGGACCUGCACGUCCACCGCGUGCACCACUUCUUCGCCCGCUUCUACAAGUUCCGGCUCCCGCUGGGUGACCCCCACCUCGCCCGCCUCUCGUUCCGCUACAUCAGCGUCGACCUCCCCGACUCCUUCUCCGCCCGCUCCCACCGCUUCACCGCUCUCGAGGUCAUCCACCUCCGCUGCGUCCACAUCUCCGACGACACAGUCAGCAGCCUGGUCGCCGCGUGCCCCCUCCUCCACACCCUCGAUUUGCGCUACUGCGAAGGCCUCGACUCCGUCAGCGUCGCGGCGGCCGGGGCGCACCUGAGUAGCCUCACCGUUGCAGAGUGCGAUCCGUGCACCGACGUUGUUUUGGCCGAUGAGGCAUCCGGUCUGCGCUCAUUCCGCUACAGCGGUGCCUACAUGCCCGCCUACAGCAUCCCGGCCACCAUCACUAGUCUUGCUGACCUUUACAUCUGCUUCGGAGCAUCUAACCGCCGGCGACGCUUGUCAGGCACCAGAAUCCGGUUUUAUGGACAGGAGGCUCACGCUUGCGAGCUGCGCAGAAACUGGCUUCAACUACUAACCAGUCUGUCCAACCUCACCGUGCUUACCCUCUGCAGCAGUAUCCUACGGAGACUGUCUGCCAAAGCUCGUGCCAGAUUAGCUGCCACAGGCGCUGCACCAUGCAAAUUGCUGGAUUUGAGAGAGCUUCAGCUACUGAUGUUCGAAGUGGAGAUCAACAACAUGAACGACAUUUACUCUUUCCUUGUGGCAUGCUGUGGCCCUCGUUUGGAGAGGCUAUUUGUGCAGCUUCCGACAAUCAAUUAUCCAUAUGAGCCAGAGGAUGAACCAUCAGGAUCAGAGUCAGAGGAAUUUGGAUCAAUGGGAGAGCUAUCAUACCAAGAGGCACAUGGGGAAGGUGAGCUGGAUGACGACUUGUCAGAAGGAGAAGCAACAGAGAAAGAUGGGCUAGAGGAACAGCUGUCAGAGGGAGAUGCCCUGGAGGAAGAUGAGAUAGAGGAAGAGUUGUCAGAGGGAGAAGAACUAGAGGAAGAGCUUUCAGAGGGAAAUGAACUAGUGGAAGAGUUGUCAGGGGGAGAGCCACCUGAGGAAAAGCAAUCACAGAAACAGGGGUCAAUGGAAGAGCAAUCUGAUGGAGGGCAAUCAGAGGAAGAGACACUAGAGCACGGCGAUGUCUUUGAGAACCUUAUGUUGCUCAAAAUGAUGAAUUUCAUGGGACGCGACAAUGAGAUGCAGCUAGUAAGCCUUGUGUUGAAGAAGGCUACUAGUCUCAAGCAACUGAUACUAUUUACUCCCAAGAUUAAUCACCCAGAAGAGCUCCACAAGGAUCAUAUGAAUACUUCCCAUUUGCUUGAAAGAAAACUAUUUUCUCUCAGAAGGGCCUCGCCAAAUGCUCAGAUAGUUCUCAGCGAGCCUGAUGAUAGUGCAGUCCAGCCGUUGCAUGAGGCUUUAGUCAAGAUUUACUGA
rnacentral:rRNA from 1 species